rnacentral:lncRNA from 1 species
CAUGAGCAUCAUGCCACAAUUGCAUAUUUGAAUUCAAAUUUAAAUCUAAAAAGGCUUUAAAAAGAUUUUAUUUCAAUUUAAACCCUAGGGUUCCACCCAUUUGAGCUUUGGAUCUCCAAACCAAUAGGGUUUAACUACAAAAGGGGAUUAUUGCAUAAAUAAGCUAUCCCAUAAUUUUUGGAUAUUUAUUUGCAGUUGAAAUACUAUUUUAUUUAAAUAGUUAUAAAACCCUAAAGGCAGUUAUAGGAAAAAUGUAUUUUUACAUAUUUUAUUUUGAGGAGAAAUUACUCCCAAAAGUUGAAUCAUGAUAAAACAUGAUUUAACAAAUUUUUUGGAAUUUAUUUGGAUCAAUUUGGAGUUCAAAAUCAAAAGAUAGCAAAGAAAUCAGAAAAAGAAAAAAAGAGAAAGGGUUAGAGAAAAAAAAAGGGAAAACCGGACCAGCCG